rnacentral:rRNA from 1 species
UACAGAGGUCUCAAGCGUUGUUCGGAUUCAUUGGGCGUAAAGGGUGCGUAGGCGGCCCGGUAAGUCCGCUGUGAAAGUCCAGGGCUCAACCCUGGAAUGCCGGUGGAUACUGUCGGGCUCGAGUCCGGAAGAGGCGAGUGGAAUUCCUGGUGUAGCGGUGAAAUGCGCAGAUAUCAGGAGGAACACCGAUGGCGAAGGCAGCUCGCUGGGACGGUACUGACGCUGAGACGCGAAAGCGUGGGGAGCAAACAGG